rnacentral:rRNA from 1 species
AUUCCAGCUCCAAUAGCGUAUAUUAAAGUUGUUGCAGUUAAAAAGCUCGUAGUUGGAUCUCGGGCGCAGGCUGGCGGUCCACCUCGCGGUGGCUACUGCCUGUCCUGCCCUACCUGCCGGUUUUCCCCUGGUGCUCUUCACUGAGUGCCUCGGGUGGCCGGAACGUUUACUUUGAAAAAAUUAGAGUGUUCAAAGCAGGCAUUUCGCCUGAAUAAUGGUGCAUGGAAUAAUGGAAUAGGACUUCGGUUCUAUUUUGUUGGUUUUCGGAACUUGAGGUAAUGAUUAAGAGGGACAGACGGGGGCAUUCGUAUUGCGGUGUUAGAGGUGAAAUUCUUGGAUCGCCGCAAGACGAACUACUGCGAAAGCAUUUGCCAAGCAUGUUUUCAUCG